rnacentral:rRNA from 1 species
AACGAACGCUGGCGGCAUGCCUAACACAUGCAAGUCGUGCGAGAAAGUUCCUUCGGGAGCGAGUAAAGCGGCGCACGGGUGAGUAACACGUAGGUAACCUGCCCCCCAGUCUGGAACAACUAGAGGAAACUCUAGCUAAUGCCGGAUGAGACCACGAUCCCUUCGGGGGUUGCGGCCAAAGAUGGCCUCUACUUGUAAGCUAUCGCUGAGGGAUGGGCCUGCGGGCCAUUAGCUUGUUGGUGAGGUAACGGCUCACCAAGGCUGUGAUGGCUAGCUGGUCUGAGAGGAUGACCAGCCACACUGGGACUGAGACACGGCCCAGACUCCUACGGGAGGCAGCAGUGGGGAAUAUGCGCAAUGGGCGAAAGCCUGACGCAGCGACGCCGCGUGGGUGAUGAA